CGCAUUCGCCCUUCGGGGUGCCCAGGCGCGAAAACUUUACACUGCGGGAAAUCGCGAUAAGGGGACCCCGAGUGCCAGCACCUAGUGCUGGCUGUCCAGUUGUCCAAAUAACAACUUUUAGCAAGGGCCGGGCAAGACCGGUGCCAGCCGCCGCGGUAACACCGGCGGCCCGAGUGGUAGCCGCUAUUAUUGGGUUUAAAGGGUCCGUAGCCGGCUUAUUAAGUCUUUUGGGAAAUCUGGCGGCUCAAUCGUCAGGCGUCCAAAAGAUACUGGUAGGCUUGGGACCGGGAGAGGUGGGAGGUACUCCGGGGUAGGGGUGAAAUCUCGUAAUCCUUGGGGGACCACCGAUGGCGAAGGCAUCCCACCAGAACGGGUCCGACGGUGAGGGGCGAAAGCUGGGGGCACGAACCGGAUUAGAUACCCGGGUAGUCCCAGCUGUAAACGAUGCUCGCUGGGUGUCAGGUGCGGUGCGACCGCAUCUGGUGCCGCAGUGAAAACUUGAAGCGAGUCACCUGGGAAGUACGGUCGCAAGGCUGAAACUUAAAGGAAUUGGCGGGGGAGCAC
rnacentral:rRNA from 1 species